rnacentral:rRNA from 1 species
UUUGGUACUUUUAGCUUAAUAGAAACACUCUGAACCAUUCCGAACACUUGUAGUUAAAUAUUAAGCGGAUUAUUAUUACUUUGAAGGUCGCUUCGUGGAAACUUUAAUUUAGUGCCAAAA